GACGAACGCUGGCGGCGUGCCUAAUACAUGCAAGUAGAACGCUGAGGGAGGAGCUUGCUUCUCCGGAUGAGUUGCGAACGGGUGAGUAACGCGUAGGUAACCUGCCUGGUAGCGGGGGAUAACUAUUGGAAACGAUAGCUAAUACCGCAUAAGAGUAGAUGUUGCAUGACAUUUGCUUAAAAGGUGCAAUUGCAUCACUACCAGAUGGACCUGCGUUGUAUUAGCUAGUUGGUGGGGUAACGGCUUACCAAGGCGACGAUACAUAGCCGACCUGAGAGGGGGCUCGGCCACACUGGGACUGAGACACGGCCCAGACUCCUACGGGAGGCAGCAGUAGGGAAUCUUCGGCAAUGGACGGAAGUCUGAACGAGCAACGCCGCGUGAGUGAAGAAGGGUUUCGGAUCGUAAAGCUCUGUUGUAAGAGAAGAACGAGUGUGAGAGUGGAAAGUUCACACUGUGACGGUAUCUUACCAGAAAGGGACGGCUAACUACGUG
rnacentral:rRNA from 1 species